UACGGAGGGUGCAAGCGUUAUCCGGAUUCACUGGGUUUAAAGGGUGCGUAGGUGGGUCUGUAAGUCAGUGGUGAAAUCUCCGGGCUUAACCUGGAAACUGCCGUUGAUACUAUAGCUCUUGAAUUUUCUGGAGGUAAGCGGAAUAUGUCAUGUAGCGGUGAAAUGCUUAGAUAUGACAUAGAACACCAAUUGCGAAGGCAGCUUGCUACAGGAAUAUUGACACUGAGGCACGAAAGCGUGGGGAUCAAACAGG
rnacentral:rRNA from 1 species